UCGCUCAAGCUUCAGCUGCUGACAGGGUCGCAGACACCAGUUGUCGGUCAGCCGAGGAGGAAAGUGGAUGAGUGCCCCAUGUUCUGGAGGCUUCUAGAUUUCUGGCAGCCGGUCGCGUGUGGUACACUGAAAAGAGGGAGAUAUCGCCACGUCUGCAAACAGUGGUGCGUUAGAUGAGGAACAAGAUGCAAGGUCUGCUGCCACAACAAAUCUUUGGGAGAGCUUCUAGAUGUUGUGCAGGCUUCAGGGAGUGUGAAAUGUGCUAUGAGAGCCCCAGGUCACUCAGGAGUUUGUGGAACAAUUUCAGAGGAAUAAGUCCAAGCAGUGGAUUAUCCAACACUUCUUGCCAUAGACCAGGUUGUUCGUUCUGAGUGAGGUUUUGACUACAGUGCAGGUUACUCAGAUAAGGUUAUCAGGAAAGGGACUGGGCUAGACCUGCCAGCAACUCUACUAGGCCCUGGAGUGAGAAGGAACAGACUACUGUGGACAAAUCUCCACCUGGUCUUACAGGCACCUGUGAGGAUGCCAAGCAAGGACCUGGGUUGGGCCUUCAAGACACUGGAGCACACAAUAGGGUCUUCAGGCACCUGUGAGGGAUGCCAAGCAAGGACCUGGGUUGGGCCUUCAAGACACUGGAGCACAAUAGGGUCUUCCUCCAGAAAACUGGACAACUCUGCAGUGGCACCAUACCUGUAUGGCCCCAUCAAAUUGCCAACAAAAGCAAGGACUCCGGCUGUACAGUUAUUUGGAUGUUGUCCUGUCAUUUACUCCCCCACCUUGGCAUUUAUGCUAAAAUAUCUUCACAAAGUUUUGAAAUUACAGUAAUCCAGUAAGAAAAUGGUGUAAUAUAAAAAAUAAUGUAGACUACUAAUCCUUGUACCCUGAGAAGGCAGAGGUAGACUAGAUGAACAGAUAUGAUCAACAUGCAAGUUUAAGAGACUUUGCACAUAGUCCCCCUUUGUGCAGUUAGUUAGCCAUGUGCACAACUUGAUCACAUGCCUCUCUGCAAAGGCUAUCGCUCUUCCCCUUUUCCUAGUUUUCAAACUUUUUUUUCUUCCCCUAGUUUUCAAACCCAUUUUCUCUAAGUUUAAGGAACACUGCACACAUAUAGGCUUUCCCCCCCACCUCAUUCCAUGUAUGUCUAGAAACUGCACAUGGCUAACAAUUACUGCACAUAAAGGUCUCGUAAUACAAAAUGCUCCUUAACUUGGUUCUAAAAAAUUAAACAUAAUCCAGCUCCCUCCCCUUUACUUUAUUUUAUUAAAAAUGCUCUCCCUGCCCCCCUUUAAUUUUCAACAGCUCCAGCCCUGUGGUGACCAUGUUCAUAACCAUCAACCAGCUCCCUCUCCCCCUUAGGGUUCAUGUAUUUUUUAUUAAACAAUGAUUUUCA